AGAGUUUGAUCCUGGCUCAGGAUGAACGCUAGCGGCAGGCCUAAUACAUGCAAGUCGAACGGAUAUAUGUUUUUCGGAAUAUAUAUUAGUGGCGCACGGGUGAGUAACACGUACAUAACUUGCCCUCAAGCGGGGGAUAGCCUUGGGAAACUGAGAGUAAUACCCCAUAGAAUUAUUGGACGGCAUCGUUUGAUAAUUAAAACUACGGUGCUUGGGGAUAGAUGUGCGUCUGAUUAGCUAGUUGGUGAGGUAAGGGCUCACCAAGGCGACGAUCAGUAGGGGGCGUGAGAGCGUGGCCCCCCACACGGGUACUGAGACACGGACCCGACUCCUACGGGAGGCAGCAGUAAGGAAUAUUGGUCAAUGGAGGGAACUCUGAACCAGCCAUGCCGCGUGAAGGAUGACGGCCCUCUGGGUUGUAAACUUCUUUUGGAUGGGGCGAAAAAACGGGAUUUAUCCUGGACUGACGGUACCAUCAGAAUAAGCACCGGCUAACUCCGUGCCAGCAGCCGCGGUAAUACGGAGGGUGCAAGCGUUAUCCGGAAUCACUGGGUUUAAAGGGUGCGUAGGCGGUUGUAUAAGUCAGGGGUGAAAGGAUGUAGCUUAACUGUAUAAUUGCCUUUGAUACUGUAUGACUUGAAUAAGGUUGAGGUUGGCGGAAUGUGACAUGUAGCGGUGAAAUGCUUAGAUAUGUCAUGGAACACCGAUUGCGAAGGCAGCUGACUGGGCCUUUAUUGACGCUGAGGCACGAAAGCGUGGGUAGCGAACAGGAUUAGAUACCCUGGUAGUCCACGCCCUAAACGAUGUAUACUCGUUGUUUGAGAGUAAUUUUGAGCGACCAAGCGAAAGCGUUAAGUAUACCACCUGGGGA
rnacentral:rRNA from 1 species